ACUCGCGCCUGCCAGGCGGAGCCGCUGGUUGGUGGAGGCUCGCGGGGCGCGCUCCCGAACGCCCCCGCGGCCGGAAGUGCGCGCCCCGGGGGGAGGCGGGAAGGCGGCCGCGGCUUUAUUAAAGGCCCAGCGGCGGUGUCCGCGGAGGGCGUGACCUUGGUUCCUCUCAGGUGGGGCGUGGUUCUGCAAAUCCCGAACUCGAUAAAGCGGGGUAGGUUCAAGACCUUUAAGACGUAUUUGUUGGUAUUCCUUUCCUGGAGUCAUGGCUUCGGGGACUCCUCCAGGAGGUUAAAAUCACCUCCAGGAGGUACAGACUUAGCAAACUUGUGUUAGGAGGCUGGCGCCACGUUAAGUGAUUUUUGGAGGCGGACGCCGCUUGACAGCGGUCGGGCGGAGGGAAGUGGCCCAAGCCAACGCGCAAAAACAAAGCAGAACAAAACCGAACGAAGUGUGUAUUUUUCAGUGGCUGUCCUGGAAAGUGAAGUAAGGCACCGCAUUCUUCGAAGCUGUUCUGAUUAAAAAUUCAUUGAUGAAGUUGUUGAGGAGAUGUGCCGCUCACCUAAAAUAGCUCACCCUAGAGCCCAAGCCUGGAGCACAGCUCUUUGCUUUUCCAACCGAAGCCUAAAAUUAUUUGGCUCUUAAAAUGAUGUGGGUAGCGCACAGUUCCCUUGUUACUCCGCGCGAUGAUCGGAAGUGAGAUUCCAAGACCUUCCUCGCAGCAGAAGUUGUAACCACGCAAAGUGAGGGAGCUGAGAGCAGCGUGUUUACUAUGGCUUGUAUUUUAGUGGUUGAGAAAGAGUAAAACAAUGUGAGGAAGAAAACCGUGCAUAAGUGUUUUGAGGGGAGAAGCUACAUGAUCUUUUAGAAAAAGUGCAAGGAAGAUAAUUGUACUCUAACUGAGAGAGAAGGGGACAGCGGAUCGGAAGCAGAAUCCCUGCUGACAGCAGAGAACCUGAUGCAGGGCUCAAACCCACAGACUGAGAUCAUGACCUGAGCUGAAGUCGGAUGCUUAACCUACUGAGCCACCUAGGUGCCCUGGCAACUACUUAGUUAAUAUGUACAGAAAUGUUAACAAGUUAGGGUGUUAAACAAUAGCUUUUCAGUGUGAUCUUUCCAUUCCUUCUUUGAAAUUGAUAACCUAUCUGUCUCAAAGAUCAGAUCACACCUAUCUGAUACGAAGGAGCUUAAUUUUAUUGAAAAGGUUUUGACGGUGUCCUGCCCACAAAAGUGCAGCUUAGCUAAUACAGGUUCUUUCCUUCGUGGUCCUCACCACAGGCUCCGUGUUUUUCUAAAUCGUGGAAUAGAUCAUCUAUACAAAAGGUGGCGUAAAACACAUGCGGUUAAAAGAAUGAUAAUAAGCUGUCCAGCACCCAGUUUCAUGUAUAGAAUAUCGUUUGGACCAGAACAUGUCAAGGUCCCUACAUGCCUGUCCCGCUGACACCUUUCUCCCUUUCCUCCCUCUACGCCAGGUAAUUGCUGUUUUGAAUUUUGAAUUGACCAUCUCUUUGCUUUACUUUGUAAUUUUCCCAUCUGUGUUUGUGUUCUUAAAUAACAUUUUUAAUUUUUGCUGGCCUUUUAACACUUAAGUGAGCCCUAAUUGACAUAAAAUAAAAUGCAUAUAUUUCAAA